UCACAUUACUCUGUUCAAGCUGC
rnacentral:piRNA from 1 species